rnacentral:tRNA from 1 species
GUCGAUUUAGUUUAUUGGAAUAGAGUUUUUGUAAAACUCAGGUUGAGAUCGACU